rnacentral:rRNA from 1 species
UACGGAGGGUGCGAGCGUUGUCCGGAAUCAUUGGGCGUAAAGGGCGCGUAGGCGGCACUGUUAGUCAGGCGUGAAAGUCCUGGGCUCAACCUGGGAACUGCGCUUGAUACGGCAGAGCUAGGGGAUGGAAGAGGCUCGCGGAAUUCCCAGUGUAGAGGUGAAAUUCGUAGAUAUUGGGAAGAACACCCGUGGCGAAGGCGGCUCUCUGGAACGCAACUGACGCUGAGACGCGAAAGCGUGGGGAGCAAACAGG